GAUCAAUCACGCGGGCAGUGCAGACUCGCUGAGAUCAACGUUUGCGCAAUUGAGGCAAGAGGAGGACACGAUACGAGCAAUCAUUGGCAAGACCCCUGAUGCCUGAGGCAAAGAUGAUGUUCGACUUCCUUCUACUGCUGCAGUUUGUAUUGUGAUGGUCCUUCCACAAUGCUUUUAGGAUAUUAAUUGAGAAUAAUUUGCAGACCGGGAUCUGAAAACAAGUUCUAACAGAGUCAGUGGAAUCAUCAGGACCUGAUUAUCAUUGGCAUUUAACUGUGGAAGGAAAAAAGCUUUCGAUAACUCACUGGACAAAACCUUCUCUGAAGUCUCACUUCAUCUAGGCCCUGACAUUGGAUCUUUCACUAAUUUCUCUCCCCUCAAGCUCUCUCUGAGUUCAGAGAUAGUAGGAACUGCAGGUGCUGGAAAAUCUGAGAUAACGAGGUGUAGAGCUAGAUGAACACAGCAGGCCAAGCAGCAUCAUAGGAGCAGGAAGGCUGACAUUUCGGGCCUAGACGUCUCUCUGAGUUCAUCUUGUCUGAGACCCACCUGAACCCUCAAUCUCCUUCCCACUAAACAACUAACUAAUAUCUCCAGGAAAGGAGGGGGAAGCCCCGAGGCUAACUGGUGGGAUGGGGUCACAUUACACAUGCUCUUCACACAUGAAGUACAGCCCUGCGCCUGUGCACUGGUCUGCUCUGACAUUCAGAGGCCAGUGUAAUCGUGCAAAAGUGGACUGUGCUCUGGGCAUGCUCAGAAUUGAGAAGGAAACCUUGAUGUGGAGGAAGUAAAUAAAGAGAUGAGUUUGGAUUUCAGCCCAGGGAGAAAGAAGAGUAUGUGGGACUGGGAUAAACAGGUUGGGAAACAAAAGAGGAAACGAUAUUCCAUAUAGACCGGAAUUGUUUUAAUUCCAUCCUGUACUGACAGUGAUAACUUCUCUUAUCUUUACAGGUUAGCAACAGCCAGUGAACCCAUCCCCACUCUGUGCCCCCAGCAAAGGCCUGUGAACUCAUCCCCAUUGUGUUGCCCUAGCAACGGCCUGUGAACCCAUCCACAAACUGAUCCACUAGCAACAACCUGAGAGCACAUGCCCGCUAUGUUCUCCUGGCAACGGCCUGUAAACCCGUCUCCACUAUGUUCUCAUGGCAAUGGCAUGUGAACCCAUCCCCACUAUGUGCUCCUAGCAACGGCCUGUGAACACAUCCCUACCGUUCCCCCAGCAAUAGCUUGUGAAGCCGAUCCCUCUCUGUUCCCCUAGCAACGACCUGCCAACCCAUCUCCAUUGUGUUACCCUCACAACGGCCUGUGAACUCAUCCACAUUCUGAUCCGCCGGCAACAACCUGUGAACUCGUGCCCACUAUGUUCUCCUUGCAAUAGCCUACGAACCCAUCCCGACGAUGUUCUCCAGCAACGCCCCCCCCAAUCUGUUCUCCUAACAACAGCCUGUGAACCAAUCCCCACGAUGUUCUCCUGGCAAUGACCUGCGAACCCAUCCCCACACUGUUCUCCGAGAAAUGGCCAGUAGAUCUACCCCAAAAAGUUGCCCCAGCAAUGGCCUUUGAACCCAUCCCUACUCAGUUCCCUGAGCUAUGGCCAGUGAACACAUCCUUACUCUGUUUCCCUUGAAAUCGCCUGUGAACCCAUCCCCACUCUGUUCUCCUAGCAAAGGCCUGUGAAACUAUUCCCAAUCUGUUCCCCUAGCAUGACCUCUGACCCCAUCCCAACUCAGUUUCCCUCCCAAUAGCAUAUGAACCCAUUUGCAUCCUGUUACCGUAGCAACAGCCUGUGAGCCCAUCCCCACUCUGUUCUCCUGGCAUGACUUCUGAACACAUCGCCACAAUGUUCUCUUCGCAACAAGCUGUGAACCCAUCCCCACUCUGUUCUCGUAGCAACGGCCUGAGAAUCCAUCCCUAAACUGUUCCCUGAGCAACGGCCUGUGACCCUAACUCCAUCCUGUUCCCGUAUCAACGGCCUGCCAUAUCUUCCACACUCUUCCUCGAGCAAUGAUCCGUGAACAUGUCUUUACACAGUUUCACUAGAAACGGCCUCACUCGGUUCAUGUUGCAACCACCUGUGAGCUCAUCCCCAUCCCGUUCUUCUGGCAACCGUCUGUGAACCAAUCUCUCCUCUAUUCCCACAGCAACAGCCUCUGAGACCAUCCCCAAUCUAUUACCCAAAAAGGGCCUGUGAACAUAUCCCAGCACUUUUCUCGUGGAAACAGUCUGGGAACCCAUCCUGGCACUGUUCCCCGAACAAUGGCCUGAGAAUCAAUGCCUACUUUGUUGCCUGAGCAACAGCCUGUGAAGUCAUCCCCAUUCUGUUCCCCUACCAACGGCUUGUGAACCCAUCCCCACACUAUUUCCCAAAGCAAACUCCUGAGAACCCAUCCAAACUCAUUGUUCCUUGCAAUGGCUUUGAACCUAUUCUGUCUCUGUUCUCGUCGCGAUGGCUUUGAACCCAUUCCCACUCUGUUCCCCUGGCAAUCGCCUGUGAAACCAUUUCUAUUCUGAUCUACGAGCAACUGCCUGUAACCCCAUCUCCCAUCUGUUCGCCUAGUGUGACCCUGUCCCCACUCUGUACCCUUAGUAACAACCUGUGUGAACUCAUCCCCACUGUGGUCCCCGAGCAAUGGCCUUUAAACCCAUCGAAACUCUGUUAACCUAGUAAUGAAUUUGAUCUCUGAGCAACAGCCUGUUAACCCAUCACACGGCCGGUGACCUCCUUCCCGACUCUAUACCCCGAGUAAUGGCCUGUGGACUCAUCCUCACUGUGUUCUCCUGGCAAUGGCUUUCAACCUAUUACCUCUCUUCUAACAAUGCCUUUGAACCCAUCCCUACUCUGUUCCUCUGGCAACAGCCUGAGAACCCAUUCCUAUUCUGCUGUCCGAGCAGCAGCCUGUUUAACCCAUCCCCACACUCUUCCACGAGCAAUAAUCUUUGAUCCUGUACCAACACUAUUCCCCAAGCAACAUCCUGUGAUCCCAUCCCCAAUCUUUUUGCCUGUCAACCGGCUGUAAACCCAUUCCCACUCCGUUCCCCCAGAAACGGGCUGUGAACGCAUCCCCACUCUUCCGCAAGUAAAGGCCUGUGAAUCCAUCCCUGCUCUUUUCUCCUCGCAAAGGCUUUAAACUCAUUCUCUUUUUUCGUCCGAACAACAGCCUGUGAACCAAUCCCCACAGCUGCUCUAUCAACAGCGAGUGAAACCAUUCCCACCCUGUUCCCCUGGCAACAGCCUGUAAACCAAUCCCCACUAUGUUCUAGCAACGGCCUUUGAACCUGUCCCCACUCUGUUCCCCUAACAACAGCCUGUGAACCCACCCCCACUGUUCCCCUCGCAAUGGCCUGUGAAUCCAUUCCCACUAUGUUCUCCUGGCAAUGACCUGCGAACUCAUCCCCACCCUGUUCGCCGAGAAAUGGCCUGUGAAACUACCCCAAAAGUUGCCCUAGCAAUAGCCUUUGAACCCAUGCCUAGUCAGUUCCCCGAGCUAUGGCCUGUGAACACGUCCUUAUUCUGUUCCCUUGAAAUGGCCUGUGAACUCAUCCCCACUCUGUUCUCCUGGCAGCGGCCUUUUGAACCCGUCCCCAUUCUGUUUUCGUAAUAAUUGUCUGUAAAUUCAGCCCCAUUACGUUCCCCUAGAAACUGCCAGUGAACCCAUUCCAACUCUGAACCCCAACAAUGGUCUGUGAACACAUCCCCACUGUGUUCCCCUUGCAACGGACUGAGAACCCAACUCGAAUCUGUUCUCCUCGCAAGGGACUGAGAGCCCAUCCCCACACUGUUCCCCUGGCAACGGCCUAUGAAUACAUCCCCACACUGUCCCCGCGACAAUGGCCUGUGAACCCAUUACCAUUCCAUUCCAAUCAACUGCCUGUGAAUCCAUUUCCUGCACUUUGUUCCCCGCGCCACGGCCUGUGAACGAUACGCACAGUGUUCCCCUAGCAACGGCCAGUGAACCUAUGCCCAUUCUGUUCCCCUAGCAAUUGCCGGUGAUCCCAUGUGAUAGUUUUGAACGCAUCCCUUUUUUGUCAACUGGCAAUGGCCUGUGAACCAUGACCACCCUGUUCCCCUAGCAAUGGCCUGUGAUCACAUCCCAACUCUGGUCCCCUGCAAAAGCUUGUGAACCUAUUUGUAUUCUGAUCUCCUUGCAACGGCCUGUAGAACUCAUUACACGUCUGCUCGCCGAGCAAGGGCCGAUGAACCUAUCCCCACUCUAUACACCAAACAACGGCCUGUGAACCCAUACUCACUUUUUCCCUGGCAAUGGCCUGUGACCCUACACCCAAUCUGUUCCCCUGGCAAUGGCUUAGAGCCUAUCCCCUGUUCUGAGCUCCGAGCAACAACCUGUUAACCCACCAACUGUCUGUUCGCCUAACAAUGUCCCGUGAACCUGUCCCAGUUUUGUUCUCCAAGCAACAGCCGAUGAACACAUCCCUAGUCUGUACACCUGAACAAUAGUCUAUGAAUGCAUCCCCAUUCUGUUGCCAUAGCAACGGCCUUUUGAACCCAUUCCCAGUCGGCUGCCCAAUAACGGCCUGUGAACACAACCCCACUGUCAUAUCUUAACAAGUGCCUGUGAACCCAUCCCCAUGCUUUUCUCCUAGCGAUGGCUUUGAACCCAUCUCCUCUCUUUCUUUUACUAGAAUGGCCUGCGAACCCAUUACCAGCCUCUUCUUCAAGUGACGGCCUAUGAACCGACGCUACAUGUUCCCCUAGCAACGGUUUGUGAACCCAUCCCCACUCUGUUUUCCUAGCAAGAGCCUGUGAAGCCAUCCCCAAUAUGGUCCCCGAGCAAUGGCCAAUGAAUCUAUCUCCCUUCUGUUUUUCUCAGAAUGGCUUUGAAACAAUCCCCAUUCUGUUCCACUAGCCAUGGUCUUCUGAACCCAUCCCCAAUCUGUUGCCCUCUCAACGGCCUAUGAACCAAAACGUACUCUGUUGUCCUAGUAACAGAAGAUAUGCAGGGUGUGAGUCAAGUGGAACACAGGUACUUUGGCAGGUGGAGAAUGUGCAGGAGUGAGAGACUGUGAAUGAGAAUGGGGGAGGGAAGGACAUUGGAAAAAUAAGCAUGAACAACGGAGGAGGGAUGAGAGGGACGGACAUUAUGAGAGUGGCAGGGAGAUAUGGAGGGAGAGGUAAUGAGAGAGAGAGAGAGAUGGAUUCUGCCAGAGUGGGUGACCCAGAGGUGAAAGCAAGGACAGAGUGACUUAAAUCCAACUCUUGAGCACGGCCCCGGCCCCCUCCCCUUCCCUGAGGACCAGGACUUGGGGCCAAGUCUGUCUCUCCAGCUCAGCUUCUCCAACACAAAGACAAACAACAAGAAAGUUCACUCUGCUGCUUGAUACAUUUUAAUGGACAUUUUUAUUAUUUACAAAUUGAAGCUACAGGUACAGUCAGUGGAAUGAUGCAUUUUCUCACUGCCCCCUGAGUUGAGACGAACAUUGGAAUGUGUUCCUGUCACCCUGUGGGGAAUAAGGUUGGACAAAGCAGCAUCACCCUCAGUCUGUUGCAUAGGUGACCCGCUGCUUCAUUGCUGAAACAUUGAACUGAAAUGAAAAUAUCCUGAAAAUGGAUUAUUUAGUGAGUGAAUUUGAUUGAUUGACGAUUUUGGGUAAAGGGAUAUUUCAGCACAUUCUUCAGCUGCAGUCUGAACUUAGUCUGGG